rnacentral:rRNA from 1 species
UACGGGGGGGGCAAGCGUUGUUCGGAAUUACUGGGCGUAAAGGGUUCGUAGGUGGCCAACUAAGUCAGACGUGAAAUCCCUCAGCUUAACUGGGGAACUGCGUCUGAGACUGGAUGGCUUGAGUGCAGGAGAGGAACGCGGAAUUCCAGGUGUAGCGGUGAAAUGCGUAGAUAUCUGGAGGAACACCGGUGGCGAAGGCGGCGACCUGGGUAGAUACUGACGCUGAGGUGCGAAAGCGUGGGGAGCAAACAGGG